rnacentral:rRNA from 1 species
GACGAACGCUGGCGGCGUGCCUAAUACAUGCAAGUUGAGCGCUGAAGGUUGGUACUUGUACCAACUGGAUGAGCAGCGAACGGGUGAGUAACGCGUGGGGAAUCUGCCUUUGAGCGGGGGACAACAUUUGGAAACGAAUGCUAAUACCGCAUAAAAACUUUAAACACAAGUUUUAAGUUUGAAAGAUGCAACUGCAUCACUCAAGGAUGAUCCCGCGUUGUAUUAGCUAGUUGGUGAGGUAAAGGCUCACCAAGGCGAUGAUACAUAGCCGACCUGAGAGGGUGAUCGGCCACAUUGGGACUGAGACACGGCCCAAACUCCUACGGGAGGCAGCAGUAGGGAAUCUUCGGCAAUGGACGAAAGUCUGACCGAGCAACGCCGCGUGAGUGAAGAAGGUUUUCGGAUCGUAAAACUCUGUUGGUAGAGAAGAACGUUGGUGAGAGUGGAAAGCUCAUCAAGUGACGGUAACUACCCAGAAAGGGACGGCUAACUACGUG